AGUGAACGCUGGCGGCAGGCCUAACACAUGCAAGUCGAACGGCAGCACAGUAAGUGCCUGCUCUUACGGGUGGGCGGUCGGGGACGUGUGACGUAUACACCGGACUCUUCUUUUUGGUGGGGGAUAAGGAAGGGAGACUUAUGCCACUACCGCACAACACAUACGAGUGAAAGCAGUGGAUCUUUGGACCUUGCGCGAUUGAAUGAGCCGAUUUCGGAUUAGCUAGUUGGCGGGGUAAAGGCCUACCAAGGCGACGAUCCGUAGCUGGUCUGAGAGGAUGACCAGCCACACUGGAACUGAGACACGGUCCAGACUCCUACGGGAGGCAGCAGUGGGGAAUUUUGGACAAUGGGCGCAAGCCUGAUCCAGCCAUGCCGCGUGGGUGAAGAAGGCCUUCGGGUUGUAAAGCCCUUUUGUUGGGAAAGAAAAGCAGGGGCCUAAUACGCUGCGGUUCUGACGGUACCGGAAGAAUAAGCACCGGCUAACUACGUG
rnacentral:rRNA from 1 species